CCACGAGGGGGCAGGCCCGGCUCAGAGGCCGAGAUGGAGCCGUCAAUCUUCAUAGCGAGAGCAUCUUGAGGAAAAAAAAAAAUAUAUGAUGUGAGCGAAAGGAAUUGCCUCGGCUUUGGUCUCCAGUCCAACCAGAUCCGCCUGCGCUUGCCAAAUCGAGUAUUGCUCAUGCUUUCCUGAGUGCAUAAAGCAUCUAUUAAAAAGAAAACGCCCGCAGGAGCAGCAGCUCCCAUCUCACUCCUGCCUUCAUCCUGCUCCUGAGGCACUCGGCGUGGAGCUGGCGCUGAAGCACCCACCCGUGCUGUGCUGCUCCGUCUGCCGUGCCCAAAAGCUGGAAGCAAGAGAAAUGCCCCAAAUGAGCGGCCCUAAAGCCGCUCAGGCACAGACCCCGAGCUCCUCCAUGUGUGCACAUUCCUCGUUCUUCACGCAAGAAAAUGAAGGGGUGACGGCGUGCAAGGGAAGCAGCUUUACUCCUGGUGGUGUUUCGGCACGUCGCCCUUGGGGUCUUGCUGGAGAAACGUGAGGCACUGGAAAUUCUCUCUCCUUUCUCUCUAUACCCGAGACGGGAGAGUCCCAGCACACACUCGGCUUUCUGGUUGCAGAGGGAUCACAGAGGCACGCAAGAGUCUCCAGAGAAAGCGGGAUGAGUACACGUCCAGACACAGGUUUCCCGGUACCCGGUGGCAGCAGAAGGGCAGCUCUUCGCCUUCUGCCAGCUCCUGUCGCCCACCACUCACUCUGCAGCCUCUCCUCUCGGCGACCACCGCUGCCAUUACACGGCUCCACAGAGCUCGCCCCUUUCCCAGCUCACCGCGCACCCUUUACUCCUGCGGGGCAGCCCCCCUUAUCCUCAGCCUCUCCACAGAAAGCCCCCCUUAGCCUCCCCUCCACAAAAAGCCCCCCGAAGGGCUCCCCCGGCCCGACCCAGCCGCUCUCCUUCCCUCAGCGCCCCCCCUGCCCCUCGCCCCCUCAGGCCCCCGGCCCCGCCAUUUUGCCCCCCUCACCGUCUCGGCCGCCACCUCCCGCUGCCUCAGCGCCUUCUGCUUGCCCCGGGGGGGCUCGGAGCCGCCGGGGGGGGGACCCGAGCCCAGCAGCAGCGCCAGGAGCAGCAGCGGGGCGCGGAGCAUGGCGAGAGGGAGGCGGCCAGGGGAUAAAUGGAGCCUUUUCACGGCUCCCAGCCCCAGCUCCCUCCCCGGGGAGGCCGGGAACCGGGCGGGAGCGGCCAAGGCAGCGCCGGCCCCCGGCAGCCAUUGGCAAGGGGCCGGGGGGCUCCCGCCCCCCUCAAGCCCCGCUCCGGGCACCCGAGGGCUACAGGGGGGAGUAGGGGAGGGGGUGGCACCAAACCCUGCCGGGCACCGCCACCUGAAGGCUUUAACCACCCGCCCGGCUGAGCCCGGUCGAUUUGACACAAUAAAAUGUUGGUUUGUGUGUAAAA